GAAUUCACUAGUGAUUCAGGCCUAACACAUGCAAGUCGAGCGGUAGAGAGAAGCUUGCUUCUCUUGAGAGCGGCGGACGGGUGAGUAAUGCCUAGGAAUCUGCCUGGUAGUGGGGGAUAACGUUCGGAAACGGACGCUAAUACCGCAUACGUCCUACGGGAGAAAGCAGGGGACCUUCGGGCCUUGCGCUAUCAGAUGAGCCUAGGUCGGAUUAGCUAGUUGGUGAGGUAAUGGCUCACCAAGGCGACGAUCCGUAACUGGUCUGAGAGGAUGAUCAGUCACACUGGAACUGAGACACGGUCCAGACUCCUACGGGAGGCAGCAGUGGGGAAUAUUGGACAAUGGGCGAAAGCCUGAUCCAGCCAUGCCGCGUGUGUGAAGAAGGUCUUCGGAUGUAAAGCAAAGGAAGUUGGGAGGAAGGGCAGUUACCUAAUACGUGAUGUU
rnacentral:rRNA from 1 species